CCUGAUCAAGUAGUUGAUUGAUUUGAAUAUACACAUAUGAUGCAGCACUGGACAUGAAGUACAUCACAAGGGUCAAGGAUUAGGAAGGCUACCCUACCAUGGCAACUCAUUAACAAGGCCAACGGAGAGGCUCUCUAUGCUUUUGACAGCUUGAAGUACAUAAGCGCUGAGCUGUGGCAGGUUAUUGCUAUGAAGUUCAGUGACUUGCACAUCGCUGCAUUAUGUUCUUUUUACUUCCAGAGCUACAGUGCUCUCAUACUAUCAUUGCAUUGCCUGUUGUUCUUGCUGCAUACCUAUAUGAAUCCAGAUCCAUAGCUUGUACUGCAACUAAUGUGUCAUGCGUUUUGUGGCAGCAACAACAGCUAGCAGGAGCAAUUCUCUUGCUGGUAUGCAUGUAUGCCUCUGCUUUGGUCUUACUGCAUGUGAGCUUGGUUGUGUCCGUUGACGCAGUGUAGCUAUUCUGUUCCUGUAGAUUUGGGGUGCGGGAGGGGGGAUUUUUGCCCACUUAAAUUACUUUUAUGUGCUCAUCGAAUUGGAUGGUUGCUCUGGUGUGAAUCAUACUAGUAUGCACUAGCAGCAAUCUGUCAAUGUUUGCUACUGGAAAAUCAAUUUGCAUUAACUUUUAAACUUGAAACUGUUCCCUUUUCUGUUUGAUUCAAGCUUACUCUCGUUAUAAUGUAUUGUGUAGUUGUUGUUUCAAACUGUUUUGCUACAAGUACCAUAAUUUGCAUUGAAGAUAUUGUAUUAUGUUGCUGUAUCAUUGUUUAAUAAAACCACAACAUGAUGCUCACAUGAGAUAUCCACAUGUUUCUAUGCUGUUUGAUUCAAGCUUACUCUCGUUAUAAUGUAUUCUAUUGCUAUUUUGCUACAAGCUGUGUGUUGAUUUGAUAACAGGAGUUUCCUUGUCCUGGUCCUAUACUGCAUUUUGACUCCUAUGUUUCUGUGCGCGUGUGUUUAAUUGAUAUUGUUUCAACUUUGAACUUCUUCUGCAUAUGGCCUAUACUGCAAUUGGGAUUUAAAUUUGUGGUUGUUCCUCUUUUACAGAUGCUCAAGUGUGAAGUGUGAAGCAAGUGUGAAGCCGUGAAGUGUGAAGCCGUCAAGUUCUACUUAGUGAAGAGUAGCAUAUUGUAGCAUAUAUGUGUUGUAAAGAUUGUAAUAGAUUUAUUUAGUGGUAUAUUUGAUGAAAUUUAUGUGUUCUUUUGGAUUAUGUAUGUGAUCUGAAAACUUGUGAAAUGGAAACUUGACCAAUGGGUCCACUUAUGAAAAUAAUCUGUCAAUUUUGUACAUUUCUGACAUGUGGGACCAAUUUGAGAGAUGAUCAUGACAAG
rnacentral:lncRNA from 1 species